rnacentral:rRNA from 1 species
AGCGUGCGCAGGCGGUUGUGCAAGACAGAUGUGAAAUCCCCGGGCUCAACCUGGGAAUUGCAUUUGUGACUGCACGGCUAGAGUGUGUCAGAGGGGGGUAGAAUUCCACGUGUAGCAGUGAAAUGCGUAGAUAUGUGGAGGAAUACCGAUGGCGAAGGCAGCCCCCUGGGAUAACACUGACGCUCAUGCACGAAAGCGUGGGGAGCAAACAGGAUUAGAUACCCUGGUAGUCCACGCCCUAAACGAUGUCUACUAGUUGUCGGGUCUUAAUUGACUUGGUAACGCAGCUAACGCGUGAAGUAGACCGCCUGGGGAGUACGGUCGCAAGAUUAAAACUCAAAGGAAUU